UGUCUCCUCCAUGUCUCCUCCUGAUAUGGAUUCAGCCCGCUCCGCAACGAGUGGGCUUUUUUUC
rfam:Burkholderia sp. Leaf177 contig_3, whole genome shotgun sequence.